CGGGAAACUGGAUAUAGUGUGGAAAACAAAUCUGGGUGAAAGGGGCCGACUACAGACCAGCCAGCUUCAAAGGAUGGUGAGUGCGGGGCUGGUGUGAGAGGACAGGUGAGUCUUACACCUCAGCACCAAAGGGCAGAGCCCACGAGUCCCUCAUUUCUAGAAAACGCUAAUGGUCGUGUUGACCCAUAGGUAGAAAACUAGUGCCGAGAUUCCUGGGAAAUGUUCAGAUGUUAGUGUGUGACUUUUGUCUGGUUUGGUUUGUUGUUGAUGAUGAUGAUUUCACCAAGCAGGACUUAAGGUAACUGCGUAUGAGUUACUCUUCUCCCCAAGUCACGCUCACCGCUCAUCUGAUGCUCCUUACAUCGAGGUACCCUGGGAGAUGUCCCGAACGUCACAGAAUCACAGCACUUACCAACUCAGUCUACACCUCUGUCACUUUUGUCUUAGAACAGGCUGUCAGUGUGCCGCCAUGGCCGGUCUGGAACUGGACAGCCCUUCGAGAUCAGACCCCUAAAUCCUAAUUCAUUCUUGUCUCAAGGCAAGACUCAUGUUAAUUCUGCGGAGUCUGGAGUAUCAUAAACAGUCCAAGCCGCAGGUCCUGCUAGCCAAGGUCACAGCAAGGGGUUGAGUGUAGACUAGGCCAGAGCAGCAGCAUGUGGUCAGAAUGCCAGCCGCGUGUCGAGUGGGCACAGACACCUUCAUUAGCAUCGAAAGGUUUCUUAAUUGUGUAUUUUAACUGUUAACUUUUUUCCGCAGGCUCCAGGUUAUGGAGAUGUUAGGCUGUCUUUAGAGGCCAUCCCAGAUACCGUAAACCUAGAAGAACCUUUCCACAUUACCUGUAAAAUCACAAACUGCAGCAGUGAGAGGACGAUGGACCUAGUGCUGGAGAUGUGCAACACCACCUCUAUCCACUGGUGUGGGAUUUCGGGAAGACAGCUGGGGAAGCUGCACCCCAG
rnacentral:lncRNA from 1 species